rnacentral:tRNA from 1 species
GCGGGAUAGUUGGUGUCGGAUUCAGCUUCCCAAGCUGAUAGCGCGGGUUCGAUUCCCGUCAUCCGCUCCA